CUGACCGGCUGGAGCACGCUGACCAGAGCACAAACGCCUCUUCUAUCUUCUGCUGCAGUUUGCAGAGGCUGCAUGGUUCAGACUGAGCCACUGAGGAGAAAGGGUCUUCCGUCCCCGGAUAUGAAGAGCUAAGACCAAAUGAGGCAGAUUUGCCAGAUGUCCUAGCCUCCUGCCUAUUCCCUGAGAGUCGACCAGGGGAAGCCAGUCACCCCAGCGACCACGUGCACAUCUAUGUCUGAGGGAUUAGGGAGGAUCACACGUGAGUGGCGUUUGGCCAUGACCAGCCCUGGGAGUCAGCUCAGCCCUGCCCUGCCAGCUGCGUGUCCUUGGGUACACUCAAACAUCACUUCAUAAACCUUGCCGAGUAACAGCCAUCCCUCCAUUGACUGCGGCACGCUGGCGAUGAGGUUUCCCCACAGGAACAUUUCCAUCCCUCCAUGGCAGAGUUGGUGUAGACCUGACCAGGAUGCUCAGUGAGGUGGAGGUCUGGAUGAUGGAGAAAGAGCUUUGAAAGCAAGCAGACCUGGGUUCGAAUCUUGGCUUCACCAGUCAAAGUUAUAUAUCACUUGGCAAGUUAUUUCAACCCUCUGGGCCUCAGUUCCCUUAACUAUAAAUGGUGAGGAAAAUCCCAAUCACACA